GCAUCAUUCAAAUAUCUGCCUAUCAACUUUAGAUGGUAGGAUAGUGGCUACCAUGGUUUCAACGGGUAACGGGGAAUAAGGGUUCGAUUCCGGUGAGGGAGCCUGAGAAACGGCUACCACAUCAAGGUAAGGCAGCAGGCGCGCAAAUUACCCAAUCCCGACCGGGGAGGUAGUGACAAUAAAUAACAAUAUAGGGCUCUUUCGGGUCUUAUAAUUGGAAUGAGGACAAUUUAAAUCUCUUAUCGAGGAACAAUUGGAGGGCAAGUCUGGUGCCAGCAGCCGCGGUAAUUCCAGUUCCAAUAGCGUAUAUUACAGUUGUUGCAGUUAAAAAGCUCGUAGUUG
rnacentral:rRNA from 1 species